ACGACCUUACUUGAACAGGAUCUGUUCUAUAGGCUCGUAUCACUGUAUCCUUGAGUUCUAAGGAAACAGGAAACUAAGUUUAGUGGAUGAACCAUGGCCAUUGGACCAGAGCAUGAUUAAUAGCUUCCAUGCCCUUCGGGUCAUGGUGCUGUAGAUGAUCGUUCUUAGCACCUAACUUCGUGCUGGGAUGGUCUAAUGGCUGUCUGAUAGGCU